GCUAUGAUGAUACUUCUAUACAUGAUCACAUCAUGAUUAAAAUUUAUACCCUCUAAGAAGAUCUGAGCAU